CAUAUACUUCCUCUGUUUCAAAUUACUCGUCACAGAAAUGGAUGUAUCUAGAACUAAAAUACAUCUAGAUACAUCCAUACCUGCGACAAGUAAUUCGAAACGGAGGGAGUAGAAA
rnacentral:pre_miRNA from 1 species